rnacentral:lncRNA from 1 species
ACUGGUGAGUGCAGUCAUCGGUGGAGUAGCUAAACAUGCAGGGAACACGUCAGAGCAAAAAAAUAAACACCAAUUUCCUCGCAAAAUUAGUUUGAAAAAAGCAGCAAAUGGGAAAAUGAAGCUGUGAUUCAAAAUUGGCUGGUGUCCUGAAAUCUGAGGCCAUCAGAAGACCCAGAAGUGGAUGGACCAUGAUAAUAAGGCAAACAUGCAUUGGGUUUAUAGGGGCCAACUGGAGACAGAAAUUCUGCCAAGAGGGGAGAAUUCUUAAUUACUUCCAGGACCCAGGAAGAGUUAUGAAAAUCAAAGCCUAGAAGGUUCAGUCUUUAAUCUUCUACAUAAUAUAAGAAGAAAGAUAUAGCAAGAAUGGAUAAAUGAAGUUUUGAAUCUCAAGACUUGGAGCCAAAUUGAUGGAACAACAGAAGGGCAAAGUCUCUCUCCCUCACUCUCUCUUUCCCUCCCUCUCUCCCAACUCCCCCAACCCCACCACCCAAGCACCAUAAUGUGCUCUAGGAAUACAUAUUGAACCACCACUCAUUUAACCAAAAACAUGUGUGUGUAACAAAAGAACUCGUAAAAAGAACGUUUGAGGUUUCACAUGGAUUUCUGCAAAAGACAAACACAGUAAAAUCACAGAAUUGGCUGAUGGAUGCUCUGCUACACUGAAGCUAUAAAGGUUUUAUUGAAUCUUUGAGACUUAUAACCUCCAUUCAUCCUUUAAGAGAAACCAAAGGUCUUAAUCCAUGGAGAAUCUUUCCACUGCUUACCAGAGAAGCAGAUCCUCCCACCUUGAAUGACACCGUUCAGAGCUUUCUGGAACCUGGUGUGAAUUGCAUUUCUGAUUUCCACCCAACCCUGUAUCAGAUGUGCUAGGGAGGAGUGUCAGCCCUGUCACCUCACUUAUGACUUGAUAUCUAGCACUUAGCUGGAGUUAUUGUAGUAUGUUUCCAGUUAGAAAAUUACCCAUUUUGCAAGUUUCAUCCUGGAAAGAUGCCUAAUAAUGCCAAGAAUACUAAAUAGACAUUCAGCAAAUACUAUAAAUUCAGUUGACUCAUCUCAAAAAAUGAGCCGCAAUGGGAACUCCCAUACAUGGAUUUUUUUUUUUUCCCCCAGUGGUAAAUACUUCAGCACCACUUAAUCCUGGUUGGUAGAAACUGUGGAUGCAGAACCAUGGAUGGGGGAACCAGGUAUAGGAAGGGCCAUCUGCAAGUGAUACUCAGACUUUCCGCUGCUCGCGGAGGGUCAGCAUUCCUAACACCUCCAGGCAUUAUUCGAGGGUCAACUGUAAAAGCCAAAAACUUUCCGUUGCCUCAAGGCCUUGUGUGACAUGGGUCUCCAUUUUCUCUCUGAUCUCAUCUCCUGCUUAUUCUCAGCAGCGCCAUCCCUGCACUGGCUCUACUUGCUUCCUGAUGUCAUUUGAAUACAGAGGGGUAGUGUGGCUAAUGCUUGUGAUCUGUGUAUCUCUUCUUAUCUAUGUGUGAGAGGCUCCUCACCAGACAGCCUCAGGCCUGAAUUCUUUACUCCCAUGAUGUCCUUAUUCAAAUAUCACCUUCCCAGUAAAACUUACCUUACUUACCCUGCCCACCCUGUGCAAAAUAUCCAGCUGUUUCUGUACUGUUUUCCUGGUUGACUUUCUGCAGAGCAAUUACCACCUUCUAAUGUGUUAGGUAACUUACUUUUCAUUUUAGUUUGAUGUGUCCCCCCACCACUGUGUAUGAGCCCUGAAAACAUGUUUUUUCACUACCCUAUUUCAGUAUUUAGAAAAACAACCAGCAUCUUGUAGAUUAUUGAUAAAUAGCUAUAAAAUGAAGGAUGCUUGUGGAUUAUUAUAUGCAAAGAAAGAUGUGUUCAAGGCAUAAACAGGAAAGAAUAAAUAGAGGCAUGAAGGUAGUAGGGUUAAAUCUGAUUGGGGUAGUGUGUGUUGGAACCAGGUGUGCUCCACUCACAGAGCCAUUAGUGAGCAUAUCUUCCCCACUUGUGUUCAAUGACAUCAUACAGUAACUUAAAAUGAGCCCUGGGAGCAUUUACGCUGCCACAUCAGCAAAUGCUACACAUGAACACUUCUCUUCUUCCCUGGAGAGCUAGUUAUUUAUUAAACAUUUAAUCAAUACAUGACUAUGUAAGGGAAGAAGAAUGAAAUUUGGAAUUGGAGUCUGCUCUAUCUGUAUUGUUUUGCCUGUUUUAUCUGUUAGUUAGUAAGAAGUACAUUAAAUUCUCCUACCACACUGGUGUUACAUUUUCCAUGUAAGUCUCUAAAUUUUUGUAUAUUUCUUGAGCUUAUAUCAUUAACUUCAUAUGACAGUAUAGAUAUAUUUGUGUCAUAUCUUCAUGAUAAAUCUUUAUCGCUAAUAACUCAUUACUCAUUUAGUGAUACUGACUUCCUUUCAGUUGGUUUUGCCUGGUGUACCUUUUGCCUAUGGCUUCAUCUCUAUCUCCCUGAAUCUUAAAGUGUUAAAUUUGUCUAUUGCAGAACAUACACUGGAAUUUUUCUCUCUGUUUUUCUGCUUUUUCAACUAGUUGUCUUUUUUAAAGUUCAUUUUCUUCUUUUUAUUUUCCUGGAGGUUAUACAUUGUCUUACUAUCAUAUUAGUGGUUAUCCUUAAAAUAGUAACAUGAAUAAUAGAUUUAGGAGUUCCCGUCGUGGCGCAGUGGUUAAUGAAUCCGACUAGGAACCAUGAGGUUGUGGGUUCGAUCCCUGCCCUUUCUCAGUGGGUUAAUGAUCCAGUGGUGUAGGUCGCAGACGCGGCUCGGAUCCGAUGUUGCUGUGGCUUUGGCACAAGCUGGCGGCUACAGCUCCAAUUCGACCCCUAGCCUGGGAACCUCCAUAUGCUGUGGGAGUGGCCCAAGAAAUGGCAAAAAGACAAAAAAAAAAAAAGAAAGCAAUAAUAGAUUUAACACAGUUUAAAGUUAAUUAUUACCUUUAUUCUCUCCUCACAUAAUGCAGGACCUUUGAACAGUUUAAAACUAACCGAUUCUCUCUAUAUUAUUUCUAUCCAAAAUAUAUUAUGUUAUCCAAAAUAUUAUUUCUAUCCAAAGUAUUAUUUCAACCUUUAUAACUUCCUAAAAUCAAAUGUUAUCAUUAUUGUUUGAAACAAUUGGUAUUUGUUUUGAUGUAA